UGCAAUUGAAAUGUUUGAUAUUGAAAAUGUUUGUUAGGAGAUGAAAUGUAAUUUUAGCUUCCGAAUGAGAGAUUUGGGUUUUCAUAAGGAAAGUGCCCUGCUCGAUCAGUGGCCAACCCUGUGAAGAGACAGGGGUUAUAAACGAUGAAACACCUCCCUCCCCCUCUCCACUAUAUAAUCCUUUGACGAAAAGAUAACCAGGUAGUUCCAGUACGGGAGGGCUGCAGCCUCCACGUUAGAAGGAGACACACAUAUCAAGGACAGAACUAUGCCAACCUCGGCGUGAGCUUUGAUGGCGAAUGGUAUGAACUUUGAGCUUAUUCACUACAGAAGUGAUACUUCCUAGCCGUUGAGUUAGCAGCUGCCGCUGUCGACGUGGGCUAGGAAAGGACGGACGACGGAUCCAGUCUAACAGACGGACGAAGAUACCACCACGUAUCCAAUUUACCACCAGAGACAUUGUUCCGAGUACAGGAAGAUCUGUUGGCCAACCCGGCCAGCAUCUACGACCAAUCUACCGAAGCGCAGCUCAGAAGAUCAAGAUGGAGAGGAGAUGCAUGACUCAGACUGCUCCCAUUAUGCUGUGAGCAGAAGAGAGGAGGAGGGGCCCUAAUCACUUCUGAAGCUGACUGAAGGGAGAGAUCCUGUUACUGCACAGAACAGGGCCGAGGAACACUGCACAGAACAGGGCUGAGGAACAUGCUGAUGUUGCUGCCGAGCCCUAUUCUGUGGUCAUGCUCAAUACUGAAUAUGAGGCCUUUGACCCCCAGGCCUCACAGACGUCAUGCACCUGACCACCUCAGGAUUGGAACGAAAGUAUGAAUUACUAACAACCAAUAGUUACUCAUAUCAUGUAGAUAUUGUGUUUAGACCGGGGUUGGGGUGGGGCCACCAGGGGUUUGUUUGGGAUGGGGGUCAAAUCAAAUCAAUGUUAUUUGUCACAUGCACCGAAUACAACAGGUAUAGACUUUACAGUGAAA